GUAGCUCAAGUUCUUUGCCUGGAAACAAAGAACUUCCCACAGAUUGUGUCCCUUCACUCUGAAAGCAACCGUGUUUAUCUCAGUCAUCUUGCUGCAUCAGCACUUAUCCUCUGGUUUUGGGGCUGAUAUCAUCGUGCUGGAACCAGGCUUUGUGGCGACAUGCCUCUCCCUCCCUCCAGCAUCCAGCUCACCCUGGCCACAUGUGCAGCCCAGGCCACGACCUCGGCCUUGGCUGGGCUCUGACGCCCAUUUAACAGUCAGAGGCUGGAAAGGGAGUUGCUGCUGUGCUAUUUUUAACCAGCUGGACAGUUAAAUAAUUCAGAGGCAGACACACACAGAGUGGUCUGGGCUGUGUGUGGAUCUGAGAGGGAACAAGAGCAUUGUAUCAACCCUGCUGGGCUUGCUUAACCUCAUCAAGCAUGGGUUCUCAGGCUCUUUAAUACAAACAUGAAACAAAAACUAAACUUUCAGAAGUAAAAUCCCUGCCUUACUGGCGUCAAUGGGACUCCUGGCUCUGAGUGCAAUGGAGCCUGGAUCACACUUAGCUGCAAGGCAAGAGCUGUUCAGUAUUUCCUUGCUUUCUAAUGCUGCAUAAUUUUUUUUCCAUGACAAUAAAACCCACUUAUGGUGUGUAGAGUCCA
rnacentral:lncRNA from 1 species